rnacentral:rRNA from 1 species
AAGUCGUAACAAGGUUUCCGUAGGUGAACCUGCGGAAGGAUCAUUAGAAUAAAAUUGAGGCCACGCUUUAAAAGCAGCGGGCUUAUCUCACAACCCCCCUGUCUACCUAUUCCUAUAUUUCUUUGGCAGGUUUAAGAUGCUCUUCCUUCCUUUUGAGUGCGUGUUUAACAACACCUUGGAAGCUGGCAGAGCAUCCCUGCCAGAGGAACUCAACUAUUAUAAUCAUGCAAUUUACUACAGUCUGAGACCCUAAAAUAUAAAAUAUUUAAAAACUUUCAACAACGGAUCUCUUGGUUCUGGCAUCGAUGAAGAACGCAGCAAAAUGCGAUAAGUAAUGUGAAUUGCAGAAUUUAGUGAAUCAUCGAGUCUUUGAACGCACAUUGCGCCUUUUGGUAUUCCAAAAGGCAUGCCUGUUUGAGCGUCAUCUUCUAGUCUCAGGCACUUUAUUGUGCCUGGUUUUAGCUAUAAAGAUACCUGUCACGACAGCGUCUUUUGCGCUCAAAUGCUACCACAAGAAGGCUCUAUUCUUCUGGCGUACCAAAAUAUCUAAUAUUACUUGCCACUUGACAAUAGUUCUCUGCUUCUUGUUGCCCCACCCCCCACUGAAAUAGCAAUAUUUUAGUUUACUAUUGACCUCAGAUCAGGUAGGGAUACCCGCUGAACUUAAGCAUAUCAAUAAGCGGAGGAAAAGAAACCAACAGGGAUUGCCUCAGUAACGGCGAGUGAAGCGGCAAUAGCUCAAAUUUGAAAUCCGGCUCUUGGGCCUGAGUUGUAAUUUGUAGAGGAUGCUUUGAUCAGGCCGCCAGUCUAAGUCGCUUUGGAAUGUCGGGUCAUAGAGGGUGAGAAUCCCGUAUGCGACUGGCUGGCUUUGUUCAUGUAAAGCUCCUUCAAUGAGUCAAGUUGUUUGGGAAUGCAGCUUAAAAUGGGUGGUAAAUUUCAUCUAAAGCUAAAUACUGGCCAGAGACCGAUAGCGCACAAGUAGAGUGAUCGAAAGAUGAAAAGCACUUUGGAAAGAGAGUUAAACAGUACGUGAAAUUGUUGAAAGGGAAGCGCUUGCAAUCAGACUUGUCCAUUAGUGUUCCGGCAUGCAUUCUUGCUGUCAAGCUCACUAGUGAUCAGGCUAACAUUGAUUUGAGUGGCUGGAUAAAGACCCAAAGAAUUCAGCUCCUCUUGGGGAGUGUUGUAGCUUUGGGUGCAAUGCAGCCCACUUGGAUCAAGGACUGCGCAUUUUACAAUGCUAGGAUGUUGGCAUAAUGGUUGUAAGCGACC